GAUGAAGAACGUAGUGAAAUGCGAUACUUGGUGUGAAUUGCAGAAUCCUGUGAACCAUCGAGUCUUUGAACGCAAGUUGCGCCCGAAGCCACUAGGCCGAGGGUACGCCUGCCUGGGCGUCACACGUCGUUGCCCCCCACCAUCUACUCCUUCGGGAUUGCGGGGGGCGGAUGAUGGCCUCCCGUGCGCCUAGCCGCGCGGUUGGCAUAAAUACCAAGUCCUCGGCGACGCACGCCACGACAAUCGGUGGUUGCGAAACCUCGGUUGCCCGUCGUGUGCGUUCGUCGCGCAUCGAGGGCUCGAAAAAAUGCUCGGCUCCGACUCGGCUUUCAACGCGACCCCAGGUCAGGCGGGGUUACCCGCUGAAUUUAAGCAUAUCAAUAGCGGAGGA
rnacentral:misc_RNA from 1 species